rnacentral:rRNA from 1 species
CCUAGUAACGGCGAGUGAAGCGGCAACAGCUCAAAUUUGAAAUCUGGCACUUGUGCCCGAGUUGUAAUUUGUAGAGGAUGCUUUUGGUGCGGUACCUUCCGAGUUCCCUGGAACGGGACGCCAUAGAGGGUGAGAGCCCCGUACGGUUGGAUACUAAACCUCUGUAAAGCUCCUUCGACGAGUCGAGUAGUUUGGGAAUGCUGCUCUAAAUGGGAGGUAUACUUCUUCUAAAGCUAAAUACCGGCCAGAGACCGAUAGCGCACAAGUAGAGUGAUCGAAAGAUGAAAAGCACUUUGAAAAGAGGGUUAAAUAGCACGUGAAAUUGUUGAAAGGGAAGGGUUUAUGACCAGACUUGUGCCUAGCGGAUCAUCCAGUGUUCUCACUGGUGCACUUCGCUAGGUUCAGGCCAGCAUCGGUUUCUGCAGGAGGAUAAAAGCUUCGGGAAUGUGGCUCUCUCCGGGGAGUGUUAUAGCCCGUUGCACAAUACUCUUGUGGGGACCGAGGACCGCGCUUCGGCAAGGAUGCUGGCGUAAUGGUUAUUAACCACCCGUCUUGAAACACGGACCAAGGAGUCGAACAUUUGUGCGAGUGUUUGGGUGUUAAACCCUCACGCGUAAUGAAAGUGAACGGAGGUGAGAGCCUUAGGGUGCAUCAUCGACCGAUCCUGAUGUCUUCGGAUGGAUUUGAGUAAGAGCAUAAAUGUCCGGACCCGAAAGAUGGUGAACUAUGCGUGGAUAGGGUGAAGCCAGAGGAAACUCUGGUGGAGGCUCGCAGCGGUUCUGACGUGCAAAUCGAUCGUCAAAUCUGCGCAUGGGGGCGAAAGACUAAUCGA